rnacentral:rRNA from 1 species
UACGGGGGGGGCAAGCGUUGUUCGGAAUUACUGGGCGUAAAGGGCUCGUAGGCGGCCAACUAAGUCCGACGUGAAAUCCCAAGGCUUAACCUUGGAACUGCGUCGGAUACUGGAUGGCUUGAAUUCGGGAGAGGGAUGCAGAAUUCCAGGUGUAGCGGUGAAAUGCGUAGAUAUCGGAAGGAACACCAGUGGCGAAAGCGGCUUCCUGGUCCAGCACCGACGUUCAGGCACGAAAGCGUGGGGAGCAAAACAGG